UCAUAUCCCUCCUCAGCCCUUGUUUUACUAAGCCAAAAAAACACCAUGCUCUAUUUCUUUGCUUGUAAGACAGGCUUUUAUUUCGUUGAAUCACAUUGGCAGCCCUUACCCAUGCCUGCUCCAGACCAGAUCCAUCUUUCUUGAACUCUGGUGACCAGAAGCACGCACAGCAUUGCAAGUAGGCAUUCACCACGAGAGAAAAAGCUUUUGCCACAGAAGCUUGCUGUCCUUCCUAGACUGUCGUUGUUUGAUACUUUCUUGGGGCUGUGCUUGCCUUUUUCACAGUUUUGUCACAGUGGUGUCUCCACCAUCAGUCAGUGGUUGAUCAAAGCAUCCAUGAUGUUCUCCUCAGGCACGGCCAGCUCCAUCCCCAGAUUUCAAGGUCAUCGUCUUCUGCCAUACCCUGAUUCUUCUGUCUUCCUAUUGCCAGCAGAGUUUGAGUCAUCAGCACAUUUCGCUAGCUUAUCUGGAGCUUCUGAAAAACACAGAUCUGGUAUCCCGGAGAUAUGAAGCUUAACAGUGUAAUCAAAGUGGUUGGUUUCUGCAUCUGUGACUUCAUAGCCCCUCCAGCCUAUGCCCUCACAGAUGACUUCUCCUGGAACUGAUACUGUGUCCUACUAAGCCUAUAAUAAACCUCUAAUUAAUUUCAUGGGGCAUUUCACUGUCCCCAGAUUUUCUGCACCUUUCUAAAUUUUGCCUCUUUCCAGUAUGCUGAUUUAAUGGUUGUUCCAGGCUUUCCCUCCAUCUGAUGCAUAUACUUUUUUUUUUUUUUUUUUUUAAUCCAUUGAUUUAGAUAUUCUGGCAACUCUCAGCUGUGAUAUCAUGACAUAAAUACCUGGCUGUAUGUUUCCACGAGGACCAUUUUGCAAGAGAAAAGACUUUUAACACUCAUAGUUAAGGGUUCUUAAAAAUUAUCAGCGAUGUGCAUCAGUAUGUGCUUACACUGUUUCUGUGCACAGCAAGUGAGAUUCUGGCUUUGCCUUGCUCCUGUGGGCUUUUUUUUCUUAAAAAAAAAAAAAAAAAAAAAAAAAAGAGAAA